AUUCUGGGACUUUAAAAAAAAUUUUUUUUUUGGAACAUUCCCACUUCAUCAAUGCUAUGUUGGCAGAUGGGAAGGGAAUGAGAAUUCUUCUAGCUGCACGUGUUUCACCUUACACUGGAUAUUUGGUCCUACCCAAGGUUUUCUCCAAAUCUAAACUAGGAAGCUGCUAAUACCUUUGAUAUUUGGUCCUACCAUGAAGAAAUAGUUGUUAGUAUGGCACUCCAUCCUUCAGUAAAUAUGUUCCAUGUGGAUAUUUAUAGUCCUGCCUGCUCCCCUCAGUGAGAACAGGACGUUCUUCCUCCCAUAAGCUCUGUACAGCUGCCAGGAGAGAUGGUGGAAGCCUUUCCUCCCCUCACCUACUGUGGCUGUUCAUUGGUUUCAGUUCCACAGCCCCUGCAAUAUCCAAGGAUCUGUGUUUGGAGUCAAGUGGGAGGUACCUAUUGAUUUCCAGCACUCCACAUAUUUAGCAAAAAAAUUUAGCUUGGCAUUCCUGGAAGUUUUCCUUAAUAUUUCCAAUCCUCAACAGAGCCCAGAUUCCUCCCUGUACAAUGUGACUUUUAGGUUCCUGGUUUCUGCAUCUCUACAGAAGAAGGUUUAAAUUUCCUCAAGGUGUGAAAGCCCUGAACCACCC
rnacentral:lncRNA from 1 species